GAUGAGCGCUGGCGGUAUGCUUAACACAUGCAAGUCGAACGGACUCUUCGGAGUUAGUGGCGGACGGGUGAGUAACGCGUGAGAAUCUGGCUUUGGGUUCGGGACAACCACUGGAAACGGUGGCUAAUACCGGAUGUGCCGAGAGGUAAAAGAGAAAUUGCCUGAAGAUGAGCUCGCGUCUGAUUAGCUAGUUGGUGAGGUAAAGGCUCACCAAGGCAGCGAUCAGUAGCUGGUCUGAGAGGAUGACCAGCCACACUGGGACUGAGACACGGCCCAGAAUCCUACGGGAGGCGGCAGUGGGGAAUUUUCCGAAAUGGGCGAAAGCCUGACGGAGCAAUACCGCGUGAGGGAAGAAGGCUCUUGGGUUGUAAACCUCUUUUCUUAGGGAAGAACAAAAUGACGGUACCUAAGGAAUCAGCAUCGGCUAACUCCGUG
rnacentral:rRNA from 1 species